GAGGGUAUAGCUCAGUCAUAGAAUGUGUGCUUAGCAUGCACAAGGUCCUGGGUUCAAUCCCCUGUACCUCCA
rnacentral:tRNA from 1 species